UUUAAGCAUUUUACUAAGGA
rnacentral:rRNA from 1 species